ensembl:lncRNA novel transcript
GAAACAAUGAGCUGGAUCCUUGACUUGAAUGUGCUGGCGGAGCGGGGUUUAGCGUUUAUUGAGAACCUACUAUGCCUAGGAUAAUUCCUGACCAAUACAAGAGAGACAGUUUCCAUGGAGAUGUGAUCGGUAAGGUGGUGGAGACUCAGAGUGAUGGAUGGGCUCCCUUUGAUUGGUGGUCCAGGAAGCCUCUAGGAGGAGGAGGUGGCAACAUUUAAACUGAGACCUUAAUGAUAUUGAUGAGUUCCUGUUUUAUCAGAUCUAAGAUAUCUUUGAAAUAUUUCAAUUUUUAAUGAAAUAUACAGUUUUAAAAUGUUCCACUUUAAAAUGUACCACAAAGAAAGAAAAACUACUGUCAAUAAAAUUGGCACCAUCUAC